rnacentral:rRNA from 1 species
AGAACGAACGCUGGCGGCAGGCCUCAAACAUGCAAGUCUAGGGGAUGUAGCAAUACAUCACCGGCGGACGGGUGCGUAACGCGUGGGAAUAUACCUAUUGGUUCGGAACAACUGAGGGAAACUUCAGCUAAUACCGGAUGAGCCCGUAAGGGGAAAGAUUUCUCGCCAAUAGAUUAGCCCGCGUCCGAUUAGCUAGUUGGUGGGGUAAAAGCCUACCAAGGCGACGAUCGGUAGCUGUUCUGAGAGGAAGAUCAGCCACACUGGGACUGAGACACGGCCCAGACUCCUACGGGAGGCAGCAGUUGGGAAUCUUGGACAAUGGGGGAAACCCUGAUCCAGCCAUGCCGCGUGAGUGAUGAAGGCCUUCGGGUUGUAAAACUCUUUCGACGGGGACAUAAUGACGGUACCCGUAGAAGAAGCUCCGGCUAACUUCGCGCCAGCAGCCGC